rnacentral:rRNA from 1 species
UACGUAGGUCCUGAGCGUUGUCCGGAUUUAUUGGGCGUAAAGCGAGCGCAGGUGGUUUAUUAAGUCUGGUGUAAAAGGCAGUGGCUCAACCAUUGUAUGCAUUGGAAACUGGUAGACUUGAGUGCAGGAGAGGAGAGUGGAAUUCCAUGUGUAGCGGUGAAAUGCGUAGAUAUAUGGAGGAACACCGGUGGCGAAAGCGGCUCUCUGGCCUGUAACUGACACUGAGGCUCGAAAGCGUGGGGAGCAAACAGG